AAAAUGUAGCUAUACUCUGAAAUUGUCCUUGUCAUUAGAGGCUAAAGCUGCAACAUAAGAGCUACAACGACUUGAAGUUAAUGCCACUGUGAAGCAACAUUAGCCUUAAGACUCUGAAUACUGUGAACAUUUGGUGUUUCUUCAUCCUUCAGUGGAGGAGUUGGAAGUCUCUAAGAUAUCUUCAGUCAUAGUCUGAAGAAUCUGUCCUGGAAGAGCUACAGAGAUGGAAAUGGACUGGAUAUAUAGAGAUGGAAAUGGAUGGUGAAAACUGACUCUUUGAUGAGCAAGAAAUACAACAGAUGGUUAUUAUGUGAGCUGUUUUCUGCAAGGCUGAAUCCUCCUAAAGACCUAGGAAAACUUUGGGAAAUCCUAUGUUUGCUGGAAGAGAGCAGUUCACUGCUCUUCACAGACUGCUGAUUCUGGUCAUAGCCAUAAAAGGCCUAAUUACAGCCUUUACUGGAAACCCUGUAGUAUCCUUGGCACCUGCUGCUGCUGCACAGUUGUCAGGUGGUUCUUGGCUCCUUAGAAGAUUGGAUCACUUUGAGGACAGCAGCCAUUUGUUCCUGAUGUUGAGCACUACACCAUCUUCCUCUACCAACCCCUUCUAUUUUAAAGGGAAGGGCAAAGGUGAACUCUCAAAGAGAAUUACUGAUUAUUAAAUUUUCAUUGAACUAAAAGUAUAAUCUGAGGAAGUUUUUAGCAACUUGCUGGCACUGUUUAAAAGUGGGGAAGGUAGCAGUUCUGAUCAGAUCCUGCCUGAUCAGAAAAGUUAAUGGAAAAUGGUAGGAAAUACAAUCUAGAAGGUUCUGGAACAUAUUGAUAAUUAAACAAAAUCUGCCAUCAUUUUUGAAUAAGAAAUUUUUGUGCAGAGUUGCUGGUAUUAUACUUUGUAGUGAGUUUCAGAGCAACUCACUGAGUUUUCUGAAAACUUUUUUGAUCAAAUAGUUCAGCAGUGAAAAAGAGACAGCAGAAGUAAAACCAAAGCUUUGUGAAGUGUGUACAAUGGUCUUCAGCUUCAAAUUCAGAUCUGGGUCCAAGUUUUGAAUUCCUGAAAGUCUCUUUGAAUCCAGGCUUUUGGCUUAGGAGCACAGAGUAGUUAUAACAGUUUUUUGCAGGCCUAAUUAGGAGCAUAAUUGCUUUAUGAAAGAAGAAUAUGAAGUUGAUUUUUUUUCUCUAUUUAUUUUAUAAGAAAAUCCUAUAUCCUAUGGGGCAAACCAAAGCUAAGUUUAGUUGCUGUGUCUUUACCAAUGGACAGGUGUAAUCAGCACCGAUCAAACUAAAGACUUUUCACAUCAUAUAUGGAGAGAGCAUGCACAGAGACACUAUUCUAUUUUGGUGUCCAGACCUAGUAAGAGUGGAUAUUUGGGGAUCAGGGCUAUGAAUUUAUUUACAUAAUUAAUGGAAGACCUUCCUUUUUGGCUGCAGUGAGCUUGCAUGUAGCCCUAUUUGGAAAAAUUAUGAAUUCAAAGACUAUAUCUCGUAGUCCUUGGGCACACACAUGCCAACUCUGGGUUUGGGAACAUAACUUUUUUCCAUUGAUCACCCAGUAAAAUAACUUGCCUGACCUCAGAAAGUGUUGUAAAAUUUAGUACUUGUGAAAGUUCAAAAAUGGGACAAUAGUGUUGGAUGUUUAUUGUAUUAUUGUUAAUAAAAUGUUUGUGAGGUCUCUGUUACUGUU